GUAGGGAAUCUUCCGCAAUGGACGCAAGUCUGACGGAGCAACGCCGCGUGUGUGAAGAAGGUUUUCGGAUCGUAAAGCACUGUUAUUAGAGAAGAACAGCCGAUAGAGUAACUGUUAUCGGUUUGACGGUAUCUAACCAGAAAGUGACGGCUAACUACGUGCCAGCAGCCGCGGUAAUACGUAGGUCACAAGCGUUGUCCGGAUUUAUUGGGCGUAAAGGGAGCGCAGGCGGUUUGUUAAGUCUGAUGUGAAAGCCCACGGCUCAACCGUGGAACGGCAUUGGAAACUGGCAAACUUGAGUAUAGAAGAGGAAAGUGGAAUUCCAUGUGUAGCGGUGAAAUGCGUAGAUAUAUGGAGGAACACCAGUGGCGAAGGCGACUUUCUGGUCUAUAACUGACGCUGAGGCUCGAAAGCGUGGGGAGCGAACAGGAUUAGAUACCCGGGUAGUCC
rnacentral:rRNA from 1 species